GAUGAACGCUAGCGGCAGGCUUAAUACAUGCAAGUCGAGGGACAGCACAGGUAGCAAUACUGGGUGGUAACCGGCAGACAGGUGCGGAACACGUACACAACCUUCCUUUAAGUGGGGGAUAGCCCAGAGAAAUUUGGAUUAAUACCCCGUAAUAUAGUUGAAUGGCAUCAUUUGAUUAUUAUAGCUACGGCGCUUAAUGAUGGGUGUGCGGCUGAUUAGAUAGUUGGCGGGGUAACGGCCCACCAAGUCUACGAUCGGUAGCUGAUGUGAGAGCAUGAUCAGCCACACGGGCACUGAGACACGGGCCCGACUCCUACGGGAGGCAGCAGUAAGGAAUAUUGGUCAAUGGACGCAAGUCUGAACCAGCCAUGCCGCGUGAAGGAUUAAGGUCCUCUGGAUUGUAAGCUUCUUUUAUUUGGGACGAAAAAGGGCCUUUCUAGGUCAACUGACGGUACCAGAUGAAUAAGCACCGGCUAACUCCGUGCCAGCCGCCGCGGUAAUAC
rnacentral:rRNA from 1 species